CCUACGGGAGGCAGCAGUGAGGAAUAUUGGUCAAUGGACGAGAGUCUGAACCAGCCAAGUAGCGUGAAGGAUGACUGCCCUAUGGGUUGUAAACUUCUUUUAUAUGGGAAUAAAAUGUUCCACGUGUGGGAUUUUGUAUGUACCAUAUGAAUAAGGAUCGGCUAACUCCGUGCCAGCAGACGCGGUAAUAAGGAGGAUCCGAGCGUUAUCCGGAUUUAUGGGGCUUAACGGGAGCGUAGGUGGAUUGUUAAGUCAGUUGUGAAAGUUUGCGGCUCAACCGUAAAAUUGCAGUUGAAACUGGCAGUGUUGAGUACAGUAGAGGUGGGCGAAAGUCGUGGUGUAGCGGUGGAAUGCUGAGAUAUCACGAAGAACUCCGAGUGCGAAGGCAGCUCACUGGACUGCAACUGACACUGAGGCUGGAAAGUGUGGGUAUCAAACAGGAUUAGAUACCCUUGUAGUC
rnacentral:rRNA from 1 species